UACAGAGGGUGCGAGCGUUAAUCGGAAUUACUGGGCGUAAAGCGCGCGUAGGCGGCUUUGCAAGUCGGGUGUGAAAUCCCCAGGCUAACCUGGGAACUGCAUUCGAGACUGCAUUGCUAGAGUAUGGGAGAGGGAAGUGGAAUUUCCGGUGUAGCGGUGAAAUGCGUAGAUAUCGGAAGGAACAUCAGUGGCGAAAGCGACUUCCUGGACCAAUACUGACGCUCAUGUGCGAAAGCGUGGGGAGCAAACAGG
rnacentral:rRNA from 1 species